rnacentral:rRNA from 1 species
CGGGGUGCAGCAGGCGCGAAAACUUUACAAUGCUGGCAACAGCGAUAAGGGGACCUCGAGUGCCAGGAUACAAUCUUGGCUGUCGCGAUGCCUAAAAAGCAUUGCAUAGCAAGGGCCGGGCAAGACCGGUGCCAGCCGCCGCGGUAACACCGGCGGCUCGAGUGGUAACCGCUAUUAUUGGGUCUAAAGGGUCUGUAGCCGGCCGGAUAAGUCUUUUGGGAAAUCCAGCUGCUCAACAGUUGGGCUUUCAGAAGAUACUGUUCGGCUCGAGACCGGGAGAGGUGAGAGGUACUUCAGGGGUAGGGGUGAAAUCUUGUAAUCCUUGAAGGACCACCAGUGGCGAAGGCGUCUCACCAGAACGGAUCUGACGGCAAGGGACGAAAGCUAGGGGCACGAACCGGAUUAGAUACCCGGGUAGUCCUAGCCGUAAACGAUACUCGCUAGGUGUCAGCCACGGUGCGACCGUGGUUGGUGCCGUAGGGAAGCCGUGAAGCGAGCCACCUGGGAAGUACGGCCGCAAGGCUGAAACUUAAAGGAAUUGGCGGGGGAGCACAAGGGCGAAUUCGCG